GCUGACAUUGCAUAUGAACAUCAUAUAUUGAGAAGAUAAGGUUUUUGCCUAUGUAUUAUUAGCUGAUUAAUGCAUAUUGCAGUUUUUAGUUCUUGUUGCAAUCUUGCCCGUUUACAUGUUAUUUGGCUUUUAUCAAUUUUGGUAUCCAUCCCAAAAACCCCUGCUGCACCAAGUUUGAGCUGUAUAGGUAAUGAGAGUGAAAUUUCUCAUUUUGGUCUUCUAAGUAUAUGAUGAAUGCUUUGCUCAGGUGAAUUGAUACAAUGUUGAAUUUACUAAACAUUUUAGUUUAAAUCUUCAUCAGCCUUAUUGGUUAAGCGUUAAAAUAUCUUAAUAUUUUCCAUCUGUCCCUUGUUUCUAGUAUGAGGAUUGAGGCAAUGUAGGGGUGUAAUAUUAAAUUCAAUUUGGCUGACUUUAUAGUGGAAUAGCAAAUUCAAUUUGGCUGACUUUAUAGUGGUAUCCAUCCCAAAGACCCCUGCUGCACCAAGUUUGAGCUGUGUAGUUAAUGAGAGUGAAAUUUCUCAUUUUGGUCUUCUAAGUAUAUGAUGAAUGCUUUACUCAGGUGAAUUGAUACGAUGUUGAAUUUACUAAACAAUUUAGUUUAAAUCUUCAUCAGCCUUAUUGGUUAAGUGUUAAAAUAUCUUAAUAUUUUCCAUCUGUCCCUUGUUUCUAGUAUGAGGAUUGAGGCAAUGUAGGGGUGUAAUAUUAAAUUCAAUUUGGCUGACUUUAUAGUGGAAUAGCAAACUCAAUUUGGCUGACUUUAUAGUGGUAUCCGUCCCAAAGACCCCUGCUGCACCAAGUUUGAGCUGUGUAGUUAAACAACAAAUACAACAACCCAGUAUAAUCCCACUUAGUGGGGUCUGGGGAGGGUAGUGUGUACGCAGACCUUACCCCUACCCAGGGGUAGAGAGACGGUUUCCAAAUAGACCCCCGGCAUCCUUCCCUCCAAGAACUUCCCACCUUGCCCUUGGGGGGACUCGAACUCACAACCUCUCGAUUGGAAGUGGGGAUUGCUUACCAUCAGAGCAACCCCUCUUGUCUUUUGGUCUUCUGUGUUUUCUGUGUAGUUAAUGAGAGUGAAAUUUCUCAUUUUGGUCUUCUAUGUAUAUGAUGAAUGCUUUACUCAGGUGAAUUGAUACGAUGUUGAAUUUACUAAACAAUUUAGUUUAAAUCUUCACCAGCCUUAUUGGUUAAGCGUUAAAAUAUCUUAAUAUUUUUCCCCUGUCCCUUGUUUCUAGUAUGACGAUUGAGGCAAUGUAGGGGUGUAAUAUUAAAUUCAAUUUGGCUGACUUUAUAGUGGAAUAACAAAUUUAGCUCUGAACUCUGUUGGCAUUGUUGACUGUAAUUGAGUUGAACAUAACGUGACUAGGAUGAAAGGCAGCCAACAAAUCUUUUUGAUUGAAAACCUAAGCUACAUUUGUUAGUGUUAUGAUUGAUUGCUUAUGUAGACAAAGAUCGUCUUGUCUUGGGUAAAUAUGAGUUUUUAUUUUCAGAGUUAUUAUGUGUUUUCUUAUGAUAGCUCAUUUAUGGCGCGCUUAUAAAUAUGAGCUUUUAUUUCCAGAGUUAUUAUGUGUUUUCUUAUGAUAGCUCAUUUAUGGCGCGCUUAAGCCCUGAAGCUCCGAAAAGCUUGGGGAGGGCGCUUCGCGUUACUUAAUGUGCGCUUUGCAGUGUAGGCUAGGCACUAAGGCAUGCUCACUCAUUGCCCAUGAGUUCUAUCUUGAAUAGAGUAAACUACAAGUAUAAUCAGCAAAUAAGUGUAUUAGUUGUUAAGGAAAACAUUAUGAAUAAAUUUGUAACUUUUUUCUUAAAUUACGUGUGAUUUAGUUUUCGUUCAUUAUGCCUCUUUUACUAAAGCCCACACUUAAAUUGCGCUUUAUGUCUAAAGCACCAGUAGGCCUGGAGCGCUUUUUAGAGCUUUUCGCCUUUGACGACACUGGAAUUGGCUUGAAAUACAGGUCACAUUUUGCUAAACACUCCUGAAAUAAGAUGUAGUGGUAAUCUUGGGGUGGAUCCCACUGAAUGAGAGUGUGUAUUAGAGGAUUCAGUGUCUAAUAUGUUUCUCCAAGUUACUUGAAAUGUAUAGUUUCGUGGUUUAUUGAGCUAAAGUUUUUGUUGAUAUGCCUCUAUGUUUCUGUUGGUGUUUGUUUCCUUUCAGCAGAUAUUCGUAUUGCCUUUAUUCUUUUUCACCUGC
rnacentral:lncRNA from 1 species